rnacentral:rRNA from 1 species
CAUGCAAGUCGAGCGGCAGCGCGGGAGCAAUCCUGGCGGCGAGCGGCGGACGGGUGAGCAAUAUUUGGGAAUCUGCCUACUAGUGGGGGACAACCCGGGGAAACUCGGGCUAAUACCGCAUACGCACUACGGUGGAAAGCCGGGGACCGCAAGGCCUGGCGCUAGUAGAUGAGCCCAAAUCGGAUUAGCUAGUUGGUGAGGUAAUGGCUCACCAAGGCUACGAUCCGUAGCUGGUCUGAGAGGACGACCAGCCACACCGGAACUGAGACACGGUCCGGACUCCUACGGGAGGCAGCAGUGGGGAAUAUUGGACAAUGGGCGAAAGCCUGAUCCAGCGACGCCGCGUGGGUGAAGAAGGCCUGCGGGUUGUAAAGCCCUUUCAGUGGGGAAGAAAAGCCUCGACCUAACACGUCGGGGUCUUGACGUAACCCAUAGAAGAAGCACCGGCUAACUCUGUGCCAGCAGCCGCGGUAAUACAGAGGGUGCGAGCGUUAAUCGGAAUUACUGGGCGUAAAGCGCGCGUAGGCGGCUUUGCAAGUCGAGUGUGAAAUCCCCAGGCUUAACCUGGGAACUGCAUUCGAGACUGCAUAGCUAGAGUAUGGGAGAGGGAAGUGGAAUUUCAGGGUGUAGCGGUGAAAUGCGUANAUAUCUGAAGGAACAUCAGUGGCGAAAGCGACUUCCUGGACCAAUACUGACGCUCA